UACGGGGGGGGCAAGCGUUGUUCGGAAUUACUGGGCGUAAAGGGCUCGUAGGCGGCCAACUAAGUCAGACGUGAAAUCCCCAGGCUCAUCCUGGGAACUGCGUCUGAUACUGGAUGGCUUGAAUUCGGGAGAGGGAUGCAGAAUUCCAGGUGUAGCGGUGAAAUGCGUAGAUAUCUGGAGGAAUACCGGUGGCGAAGGCGGGUCUCUGGGCCGUAACUGACGCUGAGGAGCGAAAGCGUGGGGAGCGAACAGG
rnacentral:rRNA from 1 species